AUUGAACGCUGGCGGCAGGCCUAACACAUGCAAGUCGAACGAGUGGCGGACGGGUGAGUAAUGUAUGGGAAACUGCCUGAUGGAGGGGGAUAACUACUGGAAACGGUAGCUAAUACUGCUUACCAACAGAUGUGCCCAGACGGGAUUAGCUAGUUGGUGGGGUAACGGCUCAUCAAGGCGACGAUCCCUAGCUGAUCUGAGAGGGUGACCAGCCACACUGGAACUGAGACACGGCCCAGACUCCUACGGGAGGCAGCAGUAGGGAAUAUUUCACAAUGGGCGCAAGCCUGAUGCAGCAAUGCCGCGUGUAUGAAGAAGGCCUUCGGGUUGUAAAGUACUUUCAGCGGGGAGGCGUUACCCGCAGAAGAAGCACCGGCUAACUCCGUGCCAGCAGCCGCGGUAAUUC
rnacentral:rRNA from 1 species